GCAAGAGUGGUGUAGUGGUUUGAGCACUGGACUACGACUCUGGAGACCAGGGUUCAAAUCCCAGCUUGGCCA